UACGUAGGGGGCGAGCGUUGUCCGGAGUACUGGGCGUAAAGCGCACGCAGGCGGUCUGCUAAGUUUGGAGUGACAGUUGGUGGCUUAACUGCCAAAGUGCUUCGAAAACUGACAGACUUGAGGGCUUCAGAGGGACACGGAAUUCCGGGUGUAGUGGUGAAAUGCGUAGAGAUCGGGAGGAACACCAGUGGCGAAGGCGGCCGGCUGGGGGUGCCCUGACGCUGAGGCGCGAAAGCGUGGGGAGCGAACCGG
rnacentral:rRNA from 1 species